UGCCCAGCAACUCUUAUCCCUACCUCCGCUUGGCACCGGCCGGGCUGCGGGUAAUCUUAGCGAAAAUCGGGUAACCAACCCCGAUGGGAACUUUGAUCGUAGGCUGAUAGGGAAGG
rnacentral:ribozyme from 1 species